AACGAACGCUGGCGGCAGGCCUAACACAUGCAAGUCGAACGCUCGUAGCAAUACGGGAGUGGCGCACGGGUGAGUAACGCGUGGGCACCUGCCCGGUGGUUUGGGAUAACCGUGGGAAACUGCGGCUAAUACCGGAUACGCCCCUCGGGGGAAAGAUUUAUCGCCAUCGGAUGGGCCCGCGUAGGAUUAGCUAGUUGGUGAGGUAACGGCUCACCAAGGCGACGAUCCUUAGCUGGUCUGAGAGGAUGAUCAGCCACACUGGGACUGAGACACGGCCCAGACUCCUACGGGAGGCAGCAGUGGGGAAUAUUGGACAAUGGGGGGCAACCCUGAUCCAGCCAUGCCGCGUGAGUGAAGAAGGCCUCGGGUUGUAAAGCUCUUUUGGUCGGGGACGGAUGAUGACGGUACCCGCAGAAUAAGCCCCGGCUAACUUCGUGCCAGCAGCCGCGGUAAU
rnacentral:rRNA from 1 species